GUGUUAUAUGAAAGAAGAGAAGGUUAGAAGGUGACAAGGAUGGAAGAGGCCUUCAACACGUAUACUACGGUGAAGGCAUUGCAACCUACUUUGGGGCAAUAGGCUCCUAACCGCAAGGUCACU